rnacentral:rRNA from 1 species
CCUACGGGAGGCAGCAGUGGGGAAUAUUGCACAAUGGGGGCAACCCUGAUGCAGCGACGCCGCGUGAAGGAAGACGGUUUUCGGAUUGUACACUUCUGUUCUUAGUGAAGAAUAAUACCGUUAGCUCAGGCACACGCCACGGCUAACUACGUGCCAGCAGCCUCGGUAAUACGUAGGUGGCAAGCGUUGUCCUGAAUGACGGGGUGUAAAGUGAGCGCAGGCGGGAAGACCAGUCAGCUGUGAAAACUACGGGCUUAACUUGGAGACUGCAGUUGAAACUGGUUGUCUUGAGUGCAGUAGAGGUUGGUGGAAUUCCGAGUGUAGCGGUGAAAUGCGUAGAUAUGCGGAGGAACACCGGUGGCGAAGGCGGCUAACUGGGCUGUAACUGACGCUGAGGCUCGAAAGUGUGGGGAGCAAACAGGAUUAGAUACCCCAGUAGUC